GACGAACGCUGGCGGCGUGCUUAACACAUGCAAGUCGAACGGAAAGGCCCUGCUUUUGUGGGGUGCUCGAGUGGCGAACGGGUGAGUAACACGUGAGUAACCUGCCCUUGACUUUGGGAUAACUUCAGGAAACUGGGGCUAAUACCGGAUAGGAUCUCCUGCUGCAUGGUGUGGGUUGGAAAGUUUCGGCGGUUGGGGAUGGACUCGCGGCUUAUCAGCUUGUUGGUGGGGUAGUGGCUUACCAAGGCUUUGACGGGUAGCCGGCCUGAGAGGGUGACCGGCCACAUUGGGACUGAGAUACGGCACAGACUCCUACGGGAGGCAGCAGUGGGGAAUAUUGCAGAAUGGGCGGAAGCCUGAUGCAGCAACGCCGCGUGCGGGAUGACGGCCUUCGGGUUGUAAACCGCUUUCGCCUGUGACGAAGCGUGAGUGACGGUAAUGGGUAAAGAAGCACCGGCUAACUACGUG
rnacentral:rRNA from 1 species